GAGGAAUGGGUCUGUGCCCCACAGGCUGAAUGAGCCCAGAGGAUGCUCCACCCCUCACAAUGCUCUGCCCAACAGAAAUUUUCCAUGGGCAUAUUUAACUUCAGCACUCCUGCAGGAAGCCUUCAGGGUAUUGGAAUUAUCAGGGACAGCCUUGGUCUAUUUUUUAAAGAAAAUAAUGUGUACACACCAAUGGCUGUGUCUGAAAAUCUGUCUCAAAGAGGUCAGUUCAGUCCUGUCCUUCAUCCAGCUGUGAAGGAUGGCUGCUGGGCUCUGUGAAGCCAACAUAUCUUCAGCAUCAAAAGAACCUCAAUGAGAGUUCGUGGGGUUCUCGUAGGAAGACCCACUAUCAACCAUGAUUGCUCUUGUAGCCUCCUUGCUGCCCUUCUUCCUUCACCCUUGGAUCAAACUGGAUUCACCAAUAUGGGAUGGUCUGCUGCCCUGGGCUGAGCACAGGCCUGUGAGCAGGGAUUCCUGCUGACUCAGUGCUUGAACUCCUGAAAACUUUGCCCUUGGGUGAGACCGCGAUAUUGUGUAUAUCCCUUCCAAAGUGGCUGCAUUUAAGGAGCGUGUGUGAACUAAAAAAGGAUCAUGGGACCCACCUGUUUCCUGGUCUCUCCAAGUCCAGAAGUUUUAGGACAGAUUUGCCAUCCAUAUCUGGAGGUGUGUCAAGGCCUGCUAUAUCCAGAAUUGUUGGAGCAAGAUCAAUAUUCAGAACUAUCUGAGGCACACUGCAAAUCAACAGGAAAGGUCAUAGUUGCCAUGUGUUCAAUGUGUAAGUCUUCACAUUCUCUUGGAAAUAGAAUGAUAAUUAAUGCUUAUCAGGGCUUUGAAGAUGUAAAGCUCUACAGAAGUGCUAAGUUUAGAAAACCCCCUUUGAAGUCUACAACUCAGAACGAUAGGCCAGUACUGCAGACUGACAUCACAAAGAAAAAGUUAAGCAUGAUUAAACAAGGAGGUGCAGCAGCAACACUGCUCUUAUCUCAUUGACAGUGAGGGCAUGAUGCUAAAUGACAGAGUGAGCAGUAAAGAUGAGCACAUCGUUUUUAAAAGCAAAACCCUACAGGACUAUGCAUUACAGUUUUCUCAUCUGCAUUAUAACUUAUUCAUAAUAUGCAAAGUGAAAAAACUGCCUGUUCAUGAGACUCAUUGCUCUGCAAUAAUAGGGCAUCCUUUAUGAAAUGAAACUAGACAGAGUGAUAAUUACAUAUUCUCAGAAACGUUUUACAUUAGGCUCAACAGCUGUGCUAGAGACAUAAGGGAACGUACACUGAUCCCGGCUCCACACUUGGACCGCGAAUAAAGAAAGGAACUCGAAUAUCAAAGUCAUACGGCAUUGACUUCCCCUUGACCAGUCCGAACUGCCCAAUAUGGUAUCCGUGGUCAGCAGUGUAAAUAAUGUAGGUGUUCUCCAGUUCUCCCAUCUCUGCAAGCAUUUGGUGUAACUGCAACCCAGCACAGAAAGAACUCCGAGUUAAGUGUAGCAAAGCAUGUUUUGUGCAGAGUCGUGUAUAACCAUAAUUUAUAACACUUAAAUACACAGGACCAAACAGGGCAUCGAUGACAUAGUUGGCACAGAUUCUGGGGACUGGCAUUUGUACAUCUUGCCUUUACUGUGCUGUGAAAAAAUCAACGUACCAGUUCAAUUUCAAACUUGACAGAGGGGACAAUUAAACAGCUCCAGAAAUUAGAAUAGAAAAAAUAUGGUAAUGAUGGGGUAAUUGCCUUAGUAUGUCCAAAAUUCAUUGUGUACUCAAACACAGCUUGUGAAAAAAGUCUGCUGCAGCUUUAGGGGAAAAGGUACUAAGAUUUGAUUUACUGUGCUAGUCUACAACUUUCCCAUUCCUUACAGUUGUGGGCUUGGGAAAAAGCUGUAAAUUUUUAUUAAAGUUUAAAGAAAUCUCUCUAGGGGAAGAUCUUUGGUCAUGGUGCUUGAUUUUGGAACAAAAAGUCAUACAAAGUAAACCUAAUAGUUCAUGUAUCAUGUUACCUAUAAUUAGCAGUGCACUGCAUUGCCUAACUUCUGCAAACACUUGCAGACUGACACCUGAGUUGCUGUGAUUUGCCAGUUCCCAGAUUUCAACUGAAGGACAAACUGUGAAUGGAGUGUGUGAAAUGAAUAGAAGUUGUCAUGUGUGCACCUGUGUCUAUCCAUGUGUACACACAGGUGAUGCAUCUUCUGUUAAUACCAAGCUUUAUACUAGGCCCAGUGACUUUUCCCUUUAAAAAAGCCCCCUAUUUUUUUGACCCAGCAAUUGAAAGAAGAAAGCCAGGAGCUUGGCCUCAUGUUGCAGAGAACCAGAAUUCAAUUCCACUUGGAAAAGAGUCAUCAACUGACAUCAGGGUCUGAAGUCUUUUGCGCUGCAAGACGUUGGUAAACUCCAUGUGGAUUGGCAGCAUGGGCCCCGUGUACUGCAUAAUCCAGUGCUUAUCCAUGUUUGGUGCAUAGU